rnacentral:rRNA from 1 species
GACAGAGGUGCCGAGCGUUUAGGCGGAAUCACUGGGCUUAAAGCGUGUGUAGGUGGAUGUCUAAGUACCUUGUGAAAUCCCACGGCUUAACCGUGGAACUGCUCGGUAUACUGGAUGUCUUGAGCCAGCUAGGGGCUACCGGAACAAAUGGUGGAGCGGUGAAAUGCGUAGAUAUCGGAAGGAACGCCGGUGGCGAAAGCGACGUGCUGGCCCUCUUCUGACGCUGAGGCGCGAAAGCCAGGGGAGCGAACGGG